rnacentral:rRNA from 1 species
UCAGCAGUCCAAAAUAUUAGUCAAUGCUCGAAAGAGUGAACUAGCUAACUGAAAUCAAUUAUAAAAUUGAUAACAUAAGGGAAAAUAAUGAUAUUACCUUAUUAUUAGUGUCGUCCAAAACUGGUGCCAGAAGACUCGGUAAGGCCAGAGACAUAAACGUUAAUCGUCUUAAUCAGGCGUAAAGGGUUUGUAGGCGGCUUUUAAUUUUACUUAUUUAAUUUUGUUUUUUUUUUUAAUUAAAAAUUAUAAGUACAGAAUAAAAGCUAGAAUCAAAUAGAGGAUAUAUCAAAUAAUGCUUAGAGUAGGUCUGAUAUCCUUAGAUACUAAGUAGAAUAUUAAAGGCGAAGGCUUUUUUCCAUUAAUGAUUGACGCUCAGAAACGAAGGUGAGGAUAGGAAAUAGGAUUAGAUACCCAAAAUACCCCUCUCUGUCAACGAUGAAUGGUAGUUAUUAGUAAUAAAUUAAUUAAUGACAAUGUUAACACGAUAACCAUUCCGCCUUGUGAGUACAACUGCAAAGUUGAAAACAAAAAAAUUAGUCGGUUUCGGAGCAAACGAAGUGAAGCAUGUUAUUUAAUUCAAUAA